GAUGAACGCUGGCGGCGUGCCUAAUACAUGCAAGUCGAGCGAACAGACGAGGAGCUUGCUCCUCUGACGUUAGCGGCGGACGGGUGAGUAACACGUGGAUAACCUACCUAUAAGACUGGGAUAACUUCGGGAAACCGGAGCUAAUACCGGAUAAUAUAUUGAACCGCAUGGUUCAAUAGUGAAAGACGGUUUUGCUGUCACUUAUAGAUGGAUCCGCGCCGCAUUAGCUAGUUGGUAAGGUAACGGCUUACCAAGGCAACGAUGCGUAGCCGACCUGAGAGGGUGGUCCGGCACACUGGAACUGAGACACGGUCCCGACUCCUACGGGAGGCAGCAGUAGGGAAUCUUCCGCAAUGGGCGGAAGCCUUACGGAGCAACGCCGCGUGAGUGAUGAAGGUCUUCGGAUCCUAAAACUCUGUUAUUAGGGAAGAACAAAUGUGUAAGUAACUAUGCACGUCUUGACGGUACCUAAUCAGAAAGCCACGGCUAACUACGUG
rnacentral:rRNA from 1 species